GCCCUCCGGGUCUUGCAAUUGGAAUGAGUACAAUUUUAAAUCGCUUAACGAGUAACGAUUGGAGGGCAAGUCUGGUGCCAGCAGCCGCGGUAAUUCCAGCUCCAAUAGCGUAUAUUAAAGUUGUUGCAGUUAAAAAGCUCGUAGUUGAACUUCAUGAGCAGUAGGUAGCUUACUACCUGCUCUCUACCAGUCUUUCGACUGUUACUGUGAGAAAAUUAGAGUGUUUCAAGCAGGCUAUUGCAGGAAUACAUUAGCAUGGAAUAACGAAUGUACCUACAAUUUGGUUAAUUGUAGAUUACUAUUAAUAGGGACAGUUGGGGGCAUUAGUAUUUAAUUGUCAGAGGUGAAAUUCUUGGAUUUGUUAAAGACUAACGUAUGCGAAAGCAUUUGCCAAGGAUGUUUUCAUUAAUCAAGAACGAAAGAUAGGGGAUCGAAGACGAUUAGAUACCGUCGUAGUCUUAACCAUAAACUAUAGCCGACUAGAGAUUGGCGGAUGUCGUUAGCGACGCCGUCAGCAUC
rnacentral:rRNA from 1 species